UAAGAAUCACUUCAGGAUAUGCAGAUAGAGUCCUGCACUGACUUGCCAAGCAGUAACUGAUUGGAAAUCUGUCUGUGACUGAUGUAGGACUGGAUUUGGUGUUAAGAAGAAUGUGGCAAGGCUGGGACGGUAGGACACU
rnacentral:lncRNA from 1 species